CAAAUAAUGAUGUGCUAAACAACUAUUUCAAAUGGAAUGGUGAAGACAGAGUUGUCAAUCAAGAUCACACAUUCCUGUGGAAAUUUAACUUGGAGCCCCUGAAGACGAGUGGCAUGAGCCUUAGGCUAUGUGAUGCUAGCAGCUUCACUUUUGAGAUCAGUCCGUAUGAUUAUGACUUUCAGUAGCCAGAUUACGACUCAGUUGUGAAUGAGUUAAAAUCAGUUGUCACAAUAAAAGAAUGCGGAAUGUGUCCUCUUUAUAGAAGCGGAAGCAAUGUUGGAGAGUCUUCAAGGGAAACAAAGGAAGAUAAGAAGUGGAAGGCCGAAAGCUAUUUAGUGGGCUAGUCUCUUGCUCUUUUGCUAAUUGGUCUUCCGUUGGUGGGUUCGUUCCGUAGCUGACCAGAUUUGUAAGUUAUUGUUAGAUAGAGUUUUAUGUGGACCGAAGGAUUAUGAAAUCUUGAAGAGCUGCAUAAGGGUAAUUCGCAAAUGGAAAAUGUUUGUUUGAUACUUUUAAAUUUUAUUGCCAUACUUUUUUUUAUUUCU